UCUUGUCUCACCAGGCUCAAGAAUUUCUUCCCUAGAGUCAAUUAUUCCGGGGUUGAAAUUCGGGAUCCGCCGCUGAACUCUUUGUGUGAAGAAAAGCUGGAUUGCAAACUGGACAUUCGUCGAAGACUGCCGCUUUUCAGGAGUCCACUAUUUCACAGACAGAAACAUAGCAAGGUAUGUUAUUAGCUGUUUGGGACCAUGGACAUAACUUCUCUUUUUUCUUCGGGAUAACCAAUAUUCCCUCCUCCGUGAUGCAGAAAGUCCUCUAUUUGCCUCAACACUAACUAGAUAGGAGAUUAAUUCAAAGUGUCCGCCAGUCUGAAGCCUUUCCUACGAGCUGUUUUGUACUUUUUCUAUAUCUUCAAUCUUUUUUUUUUUUUUUUUAAACCUUCUUUUUGGACAAAUGAUGCAAGUCCAUUCUGGAAAAGCAGAUUAUAGUAGAUAAGCAGAAAGGGAAAACAUCCAGGAGCUAUCUCACCACACACAGGUAAAUAAACUCUCCUCUACAUAUGUGAACCUCUUUGUAUAUCUCUGUAUAUCUUUCUCUAAGCGCACAUAUUGGUGUCUACGUUCACCUUGUUAUAUGUAUCACUGUAAUUAAAGAUCUGUAUAUCCUCA